AAAGUCAACAAACUGUGUUUUUUCUUUCCUAUGCUUGAUUGUUAAUACUCCUACAUUGUUUAUGGGGUAGUCUUCCUUCAUUUUUUCCCCUGUACUUCUUUCCCUACAACUGUACUGAUGUAUCCAUUUUCUCUAUGGUACCAGGCGCUCACAAUCAAGGUUGCAGAAAUUGUUUGGAGCUUGAAGGGUCCAAGAUAAGAAGGAACAGCCAGACAUGAUACUUGUUCCACUAUUGUCAACAGAAACACACGAAUAAAGAGAAAGUGUAAUUUUUUCAAGUGUGAUUUGUAACUCAAUUUCAAGACAGAAAAUAAAUGAAAACCAGCAGUGCUGGUGUUCUUGUUUGCUUCCAAA